rnacentral:miRNA from 1 species
UAGCGUGGGGAGGUUAGCUUCU